UGUUAGUUAAAGCUGUUUGGUGCUUGAGC
rnacentral:piRNA from 1 species